UACAGAGGGUGCGAGCGUUGUCCGGAAUCACUGGGCGUAAAGCGCGCGCAGGCGGUCUUCCAAGUCAGUGGUGAAAGCCCGGAGCUCAACUCCGGAACUGCCAUUGAAACUGUUGGACUUGAGUAUGAGAGAGGUGAGUGGAAUUCCCAGUGUAGAGGUGAAAUUCGUAGAUAUUGGGAAGAACACCGGUGGCGAAGGCGGCUCACUGGCUCAUUACUGACGCUCAGGCGCGACAGCGUGGGGAUCAAACAGG
rnacentral:rRNA from 1 species